rnacentral:rRNA from 1 species
CCUACGGGCGGCAGCAGUGGGGAAUAUUGCACAAUGGGCGCAAGCCUGAUGCAGCCAUGCCGCGUGUGUGAAGAAGGCCUUCGGGUUGUAAAGCACUUUCAGCGGGGAGGAAGGCGUUAAGGUUAAUAACCUUGGCGAUUGACGUUACCCGCAGAAGAAGCACCGGCUAACUCCGUGCCAGCAGCCGCGGUAAUACGGAGGGUGCAAGCGUUAAUCGGAAUUACUGGGCGUAAAGCGCACGCAGGCGGUCUGUCAAGUCGGAUGUGAAAUCCCCGGGCUCAACCUGGGAACUGCAUUCGAAACUGGCAGGCUAGAGUCUUGUAGAGGGGGGUAGAAUUCCAGGUGUAGCGGUCAACUGCGUAGAGAUCUGGAGGAAUACCGGUGGCGAAGGCGGCCCCCUGGACAAAGACUGACGCUCAGGUGCGAAAGCGUGGGGAGCAAACAGGAUUAGAUACCCCGGUAGUC